rnacentral:rRNA from 1 species
AGUUUGAUCCUGGCUCAGGAUGAACGCUGGCGGCGUGCCUAACACAUGCAAGUCGAGCGGAGAUUAGAGAGAAGCUUGCUUCAUUUUAAUCUUAGCGGCGGACGGGUGAGUAACACGUGAGUAACCUGCCCUUGAGUGGGGAACAACAUCGAGAAAUCGGUGCUAAUACCGCAUAAUAUCAUUGGACCGCAUGAUCCGGUGAUCAAAGGAUUUAUUCGCUUGAGGAUGGACUCGCGUCCGAUUAGUUAGUUGGUGAGGUAACGGCCCACCAAGACAUCGAUCGGUAGCCGAACUGAGAGGUUGAUCGGCCACAUUGGGACUGAGACACGGCCCAGACUCCUACGGGAGGCAGCAGUGGGGAAUAUUGGGCAAUGGGCGAAAGCCUGACCCAGCAACGCCGCGUGAAGGAUGAAGGUCUUCGGAUUGUAAACUUCUUUGAUCAGGGACGAAACAAAUGACGGUACCUGAAGAACAAGCCACGGCUAACUACGUGCC